GACGAACGCUGGCGGCGUGCCUAAUACAUGCAAGUCGAACGGUCUUUUCUAUGGAAGCUUGCUUCCGCUGAGAAGAUAGUGGCGAACGGGUGAGUAACACGUGGGUAACCUGCCCAUAAGAGGGGGAUAACAUCCGGAAACGGGUGCUAAUACCGCAUAGUUUUCUUGAUCGCAUGAUUGAGAAAGGAAAGACGGCCUUUGUGCUGUCGCUGAUGGAGGGAGCCGCGGCGUAUUAGUUAGUUGGUGAGGUAACGGCUCACCAAGACGAUGAUACGUAGCCGACCUGGGAGGGUGAUCGGCCACAUUGGGACUGAGACACGGCCCAACCUCCUACGGGAGGCAGCAGUAGGGAAUCUUCCGCAAUGGACGAAAGUCUGACGGAGCAACGCCGCGUGAGUGAAGAAGGUUUUCGGAUCGUAAAACUCUGUUGUCAGAGAAGAACAAGUCGGAGAGUAACUGCUCCGGCCUUGACGGUAUCUGACCAGAAAGCCACGGCUAACUACGUGCCAGCAGCCGCCGUAACAC
rnacentral:rRNA from 1 species